AACGAACGCUGGCGGCAGGCUUAACACAUGCAAGUCGAACGGAUGUAGCAAUACAUCAGUGGCAGACGGGUGAGUAACACGUGGGAACCUUCCUCGUUGUACGGGACAACUCAGGGAAACUUGAGCUAAUACCGUAUACGUCCGAGAGGAGAAAGAUUUAUCGCAAUGAGACGGGCCCGCGUCGGAUUAGCUAGUUGGUGGGUAACGGCCUACCAAGGCGACGAUCCGUAGCUGAUCUGAGAGGAUGAUCAGCCACACUGGGACUGAGACACGGCCCAGACUCCUACGGGAGGCAGCAGUGGGGAAUCUUGGACAAUGGGCGCAAGCCUGAUCCAGCCAUGCCGCGUGAGUGAAGAAGGCCUUAGGGUUGUAAAGCUCUUUUGCCAGGGACGAUAAUGACGGUACCUGGAGAAUAAGCCCCGGCAAACUUCGUGCCAGCCGCCGCUGUAAC
rnacentral:rRNA from 1 species